rnacentral:lncRNA from 1 species
AGCUUAAUUCAUUUUACAAACAGUAACUCCACUGUAGCGAGCCCAACUAGCUCACAUGUAACUUGACUUGUUUACACCCCAAGAAGACUGCCUAAGAAAAUUAUUAGCAACUUAUUAUUGAAGGUCAUAAGACAAGUUUGAGUCUUGGGGCAUUGAAACCAUGUUAUAUGCACAUGUAUCACCACCAUCAAAGAAGCUUAACUCAUUUUACAAACAGUGACUCCACUAUAGCGAGCCCAACAAGCUCAUAUGUUUCUUGACUUGUUUACACCCCUAGAAGGCUGCCUAAGAAAAUUACUAGCAACUUAUUAUUGAAGGUCAUAAGACAAGUUUGAGUCUUGGGGCAUGGA